UUGUUUUCUUUUUUUUUCUUUUUUUUAUUUUUUUUUUAUUGAUCAUUCUUGGGUGUUUCUCGCAGAGGGGGAUUUGGCAGGGUCAUAGGACAAUAGUGGAAGGAAGGUCAGCAGAUAAACAAGUGAACAAAGGUC
rnacentral:ribozyme from 1 species